CGGGCCUGGAUCCCGCAACAACUCAGUUAACAGCUAAACACCCAAGCCAGCGGGCUUUUACCUAUACUUCUCCCGC
rnacentral:tRNA from 1 species